rnacentral:rRNA from 1 species
AUGGACAUUUCUUCCAAUUUCUUGAUAGGAAGCAUCCCAGAAUCAUUCGGACAACUCAAUAUGUUGACAAACCUGAAUUUAUCACAUAAUUAUUUCAAAGGCUCAAUUCCAGGCACACUCGAAAAGCUAACAAGUUUAGCAUCAUUAGACCUCUCAUUUAACAAUCUCUCUGGCACCAUUCCCAUAUUCCUUGCCAAGUUUACAUAUUUGACUAGCUUGAACCUGUCAUUCAAUAGCAGUCUAGCAGGCCAAAUACCGGAGGGGGGUGAUUUCUCAAACCUCACCUCGCAGUCCUUGAUUGGGAAUCCUCGUCUAUGUGGAGCCCCGCACGUAAGAUUUCCAACAUGCUUCGACAAAUCUCACUCAAGUAAUAGACACUUGCUACAAUGUUUACUUCCAACACUCACAUUAGCUUUCGGCGCCGUUGUUAUUUCCUUAUAG